GACUCUGAGGCGCAAUCGACAGGGCGUCGAACUUCUAGUAUAUCAUCAUGAAAGUAAUUCAAAGGUUGUGGGUUCGAGUCCCUUCAGAGUUG
rnacentral:tRNA from 1 species